CGGACGGGUGAGUAACGCGUGAGAAUUUGCCUUUAGGAGGGGGACAACAACUGGAAACGGUUGCUAAUACCCCAUAUGCUUUCGAGUGAAACGGUUUUUCCGCCUAAAGAGAAGCUUGCGGCUGAUUAGCUUGUUGGUGAGGUAAUGGCUCACCAAGGCGACGAUCAGUAUCUGGUUUGAGAGGACGAUCAGACACACUGGAACUGAGACACGGUCCAGACUCCUACGGGAGGCAGCAGUGGGGAAUUUUCCGCAAUGGGCGAAAGCCUGACGGAGCAAUACCGCGUGAAGGAUGACGGCCUAUGGGUUGUAAACUUCUUUUUUCAGGGAGGAAUCAAUGACGUGUACCUGAAGAAUAAGCAUCGGCUAACUCCGUGCCAGCAGCCGCGGUAAGACGGAGGAUGCAAGUGUUAUCCGGAAUCACUGGGCGUAAAGCGUCUGUAGGUGGUCAAAUAAGUCAACUGUUAAAUCUUGAGGCUUAACCUCAAAAUCGCAGUCGAAACUAUUAGACUAGAGUAUAGUAGGGGUAAAGGGAAUUUCCAGUGGAGCGGUGAAAUGCGUAGAGAUUGGAAAGAACACCGAUGGCGAAGGCACUUUACUGGGCUAUUACUAACACUGAGAGACGAAAGCUAGGGUAGCAAAUGGGAUUAGAUACCCCAGUAGUC
rnacentral:rRNA from 1 species